rnacentral:rRNA from 1 species
GGGGUAAACCUGCGAAACUCGAAUGAACGAACGGAGAGAUUCAUCGUCAUUCCGCGGCGUACGAUGACGCGUUUCGAUGUCUCUGACCUCGGUCGGUGGGCACGUCGUGUUAUCGUCGACGUCCGUGGACGGCGUGCACUUCUCUCUCAGUAAACAUGCAUCGCGACCCGUUCGAUGUCGGUCUAAGCGCUGUUCGGGAGCCCCGCUGUCACCCUUCACGGGGUGGCGACGGGACCGUGAUGGACGCCGACCGGCCGUCGGACGGUAUAAUAUAUGAAACGCGCACGCGUUUUACGCGUCCGGCCCGACGCAAGUCAACGUCGUAUCCGACGUUCCGCCCGAGUGCGGACGUAGGUGCGGCGCGUCUGCUGUCGCUGCCGUGCAGUCUCGGACUGUGUGCGUCUCCGUCUGCGAUGAUUCAGUUUCGGGCACUCGCAGGACCCGUCUUGAAACACGGACCAAGGAGUCUAGCAUGUAUGCGAGUCAUUGAGAUUAUUGAAUAAACUGAAAGGCGUAACGAAAGUGAAGGCGUGCGCUUGUCGCGCGCUCAGGGAGGAUGGAGCGUCGAUUCAGGUCGAUCUCUCGCACUCCCGAGGCGUCUCGUUUCCAAUCCGUGAAUGCAGGCGCGCUC